rnacentral:rRNA from 1 species
GACGUCCCCUGACCGCGUAUGAAAGUACGUUUUCACCCUCGGGUGACAGGGAGACAGGUGGUGCAUGGUUGUCGUCAGCUCGUGUCGUGAGAUGUUGGGUUAAGUCCCGCAACGAGCGCAACCCCUACGUUUAGUUGCUAACGCGUGAAGGCGAGCACUCUAGACGAACUGCCGUUGACAAAACGGAGGAAGGUGGGGAUGACGUCAAAUCAUCAUGCCCCUUAUGUUCUGGGCUACACACGUGCUACAAUGGCCGGUACAGACGGAGGCGAAGCCGCGAGGCGGAGCAAAUCCGAAAAAGCCGGUCUCAGUUCGGAUUGCAGGCUGCAAUUCGCCUGCAUGAAGUCGGAAUCGCUAGUAAUCGCAGGUCAGCAUACUGCGGUGAAUACGUUCCCGGGCCUU